AAUAAGAUGGCUGAGUUAUAAGCAUAGAACUGUAAAUUCUAAAACGGAGAAUCCCUCUUAUUA
rnacentral:tRNA from 1 species